UGUAGCCCCCCCACUACCAAAACCUUGCCACACAAACCUAAUACAGACACACAAAAACCAAAUGGGUGAGAAGUUCUCCCUCUUCAGCUAGGCUUUUCAGCCAACUGCAUCCUUGUGUAGACCGGGUCCGAACAAUACCAGGAGUUUUGUUUCAUCGGGCAGCUGCUGCAGCCUUGCGCUCUCCUGGCAUUUGGCUCUCACUGGUGUUUGGUAGCAGGGCUGUGGGCAGAGGCGUGGACCUGUAGGCUGGCCGUCUGCACAGUGAAGCUGAGGAGCAUUUCUGGUAGAAAGGAAAGAUAAGUGCUGCAGCUGCCUAGUGCUGCAAUCUAGAUACCACAGCGUUGAUCCAGCCCCUGCAUCAGUUUGGUUUUGACUGUGCUGCUUUGUUUUUUGUGUUCUAGAUUAUCACUAGCUCAACAGACUGUACAGAUGUUGAUACGUUGACAAGCCUCUGGUCACCAGGAGCUUUUUUGGGUAUUUUGUGGGAGUAUAAUCUGAAAUUUAGCAUUUUAAGCCCCUCUUAUCCAGCUUAUGCGAUGUUAUUUUGCCAGAUCCUUUAGAGUAAGACUGAAGAGCAGAAAAUGGAGCCAGCAGGACAUUUUUUCCUAAAUUCAGACCUCCAUCUGAAACACCUAUUCUCAAGGGUUAAUGCAAAUGUGCAAAUUGCUGGAGUUCUAAUGAGCAUGUUUCCAGGUCUGGGAGAAGCACGAUCAUACUGACUGGAAGCCUUGCCAGCUGAGUAAGCUGGACCAUGUUCUUGACAUCCAUGUGUAGAACCCGUCGUACUUCAUGAGACACUCAAGAGUGGUGGCUGAGUGGGAUCACAGGAGAAAAAAAAAAAAAAAAGAAAUGCUUAUCAGUGUCAUCUCUAAGUCCAGGAUUGUGGUUCAGGACCAGUUAUUCCUAGAGUACGAAGAUUUCUCUGGAAAUUUCAAGCUCCAGCAGCCACAGAGAAACCCUUGCUGCACAAGACUACAAUGUGGGAAAAUCCAGAAUGUCCCAGGAUAGGGCAAAAAAGCUAAGUAAUUUACUGUCUAUUCAGAAUAAAAUGGAAAUGGAGUAAAAUAAAGUGGACCUGCCUCAGGUCACACAAGCAGUUUGGAUGCUGAGUUUAAACUCACAGAGAAAGAAGAAACUAGCCAUUUGUGGUAGAGGGUGAGGAGAAGGAACAGGGAGAAAAGGUCAGGUGAAGCAAGAGAGCAAAGAUUGAAAGGAUCCGCAAUGGCCUUUAUAUCCAUGUGGGAUUUACAGCAAGCCAGGGCUGCAGGAGUUCUUUAGACUCCAGAGAAGACCUGUAAAGAGCCACCAUUAGCUUGUGCUCAGCACAAACUCUAUCUCCCACUACAUUCCUGGUGGCACACAGGACAAAGAAUGGGAAUUCUGCAGAUGCACCUAGUCCUAUAACCUGUAAAUCAGUUUCUGUUUCACUUGUUACUUCUGUAAGCUGCCCUGGAUAUAUGUAUAUCUUUUUAAAGAAAAUUAUUUACAUCUUGUAUCUCUUGUGUUCAGAUCCUAUCACACAUAUUUUUAAGGUACUCUGAUACACCAUUGGCCAUUCCUUCAUCUCUUGAUGGAAAUCCCAUCUAAGGCAUGUCUUAAAACAUAAGUAGCAUACUGACACCAAAGAAAACAGUCUAUAAUAGUACCCUGUUUUCAUGGUUCAUUCUGCUCCUUUUAAGCUUUAACAUUAAUACUCCCAAAACUAAAGGGGAAAAAUCAUAUGGAAAAAGUGUUUCUUGACUGAGACGUGAUACAGAAAUCCACUCUCUCCAGAUGGAGGCAGCACUAGCUUGCAUUGCAGCUCAGUGGGCCGUUGCAGCCGGGCUGCAUAGAGUUGCCAGACCUGUUUGCUCAGUGGACUCUUCCACAAAUACCUCUGCUGCUUUAAAAAAUAGUGUGUCAAAUGCAACCAGCAAAUCCAGUGACCAGCUUUGCUGAGUGGACAAUCAUCACAUGUCAUCCAGCAUCUGUACCUUGCCUUAGAAGCCUCGUGGACACACACCGCGCCCCUCCUCUGCACCUACGAAGUCUGUUGUGGAAGCACCGUCCCUCUGGGCUGGCGUCAUCCGUUACAGCUUCGUGACCGAGGGGAGCAGCAGAUCUUCAGGCUCAGAGACAACCCCUGAGGGCCCGGAAAAGCUUCACCCCCCCCUCCCUUGUCUCUCUGCUCUGAGAAGUCUGGAGUUUCAUGUGCCCUGGUGCCGGGGAUUAUGCCUGGCCUACUUUCAUAUACGUGCUUCCAAAGUGGCUGUGACAGCCUCCGUGGGCUUGUAUUGCUGAGGCGGUGAAGCUGUUCUCUGCUACUGUACCUGGGGGCUCGGCGGUGGGCGGCAGGUGCCGCUGGUAGCUCUUGUGCGUCUGAGGGAGCGCAGCCGCUCGUCUCCAGCAGCCGUCUCUGCUGCGUUUGCCAUCCCGGUACACGGCGGCGGCGGCUCUUCCUGCCAGCAGCAGGGCAUGCCUCCGCCAUGCCAGGCUCCCCGUGGCCUCCGGCAUGCUCCCCGCACCAAGCUGCGGGCGGGUUCCCUGGGGAUCGCAGUGCCGAGCGUCCACAAGGGAUCCUGACCGAACCCUGCCCUUCCCCAAAGCUCUGUGGUUACGCUGCAUAGCCUAAAAGCGCUUUCCCCUGGCACAUGAAGUGGGAGCGCGGGGUAGCGAUGGUGGAGGUCGCAUGACUCCCAUCGUGUUUCUGAGGGAAUUCCAGUAAUCAGGCUCUAUUUUGUCUUCCUGUCUGCAGUUCUGGGAAGCGGGGGCAGGGGGAAGCCUAGUUUCUUGAGGGCCACUUGGGGCCAGAUUCAAGAUGCUGCUUUUAGGCAGCCGGGCUGGAUACUACUGCGCCUAAGAUGUAGGUGCUGCGCCCCAAAGACUGUGAUCCUUGUUUUCCAGCCUAGGCACCUGGUCUCCCUGUAGGAUGGUUAGGCACUUACAUGGCCUGAAGAGCUGUCCUGAGGUAGAGGUUUGGAAAUACAGCUUCUGGGGGUGGGGUGGGAUGCCUGAGCUGCUCCCACUGCUCCGGGGCGUAAGUGCCUGACAUAGAGCCAUGUACUAGGUGCCUUCACACAUGCAAGAUGUAUAGCACUUCUCCCACGUUCCCGGGGGGGAGCUAGAAGGCUGUUCUGCACCUCCCACUGGUGCCUGCUUCUGGGAGCUGUGACAGAAACCGUGAGAUCGAUAGCAAAAGAGCAGCGCAAGUGAAAUGCUUGCUUCAGAUGCCGAGGGUGGGCGCCGGGCAGGGCAAAGCCAGGGGAGGAUGGUGGGCACUGAUGCAAGUGCUCUGUGCAGCUUACGGUGCUGCUCAGCCGUGUAGCUGCGGUUGUGGCCUUCAUGCCUGUGUAAGUCUACGUACUGUUUUAAUUAAUUUAUUUUAAGCAGGCGGUGGUUGUUUGGAAGGACUUCCAACCAUGUCUAAAAGCAUACAGCAGGGAGCCAAGAAACCUGUUUAUUAAAAAAAAUAGCCCCGGGUCAGGAUGGCUGGCAUCUGUGCCACCACCGAGCUCGGGCACCAGGCUGGACUGUCUCUCUCUGCGUCCUUCUCCCCUCACCGAGGACCCGCAUCGCUGCGAGGUGAGGAGGGAAAGCCCGGGGAAGCAGCCGUGCUGUGGCUGCCCGAGAGGCUGCUGUAACCUGCGUGGUCCUGCCUGUCCGGCUGCAGUUCUACUGCACGCUGAUCAGUCUGGGAUGGAGCAGCCGCCUGUCCGGGAGCACCGUAUCAUUAGGAGCCUAAACUGUGAAAAUGGCUGCGUUAUUUAAAAGAGGCUCACUAGGGCUUUCAGGGCCUGUGGUGUAGCUACAUCUCGACAUACCUGGUCUGUCCUCAACCUCCUUGGUCUUUUGGAUGCCACCAGUCACACCCCCCAGUGCCCUUUCUCCUCUCUACAGCUCUGCCAUGCUUUCUGCUGCUGGUUGUCCUCCUGGUGUCAGGGCUGUUUAUUCAAGGCUUUAUUUAGCCUUUUGUUACUGCUGUUGUGUCUGGAGAGGACUCCAGGGCGCACUUUCUUGUAAAUGACUCCUCUUUUUACAGUCCAUAAAUGUAAAGCGAGCUCACCUGUUGUGCCGAUCUUCACAGUACCAAGAAAUACUGGAGUUCUUGAGUUUCUUUCCAACUCUUUCAAGAUGGAAAACUCCUGGGAUAGUUUUUAUGUUUCAUGGUUGACUAUAAAUAGCUGUCACAUAGCUGUCAUUUAUAUUCCCUGCAGGAGACUUAAGAAAGGGAAUUGAGGCAUCAAACUGCAGCGGUGCAUGAUUUCUGUGACUCAGAGCUUUCGUGUGGACUUAAAUGCCUUUGAUUUCCAUCUGUGCCAUGGACUAGGGUCAGCCUUGCCUGUCAGGAGGUGUUGGGUCUGUGCCUGUAGGCACAGCCUGUGCAACCCGCAGAGGUGAGCUGCAGGGAUGCGGGGUGCCAGGAAGAUUACAGCGAGCGACCAUUCCCCUGCACAUGGCCCGACUGCCUUAAAAAGUUCUCCCGCUCCGACGAGCUCACCCGGCACUACCGAACCCACACCGGCGAGAAACAGUUUCGGUGCCCCCUCUGCGAGAAGCGGUUCAUGCGGAGCGACCACCUGACGAAGCACGCCCGCCGCCACACCGAGUUUCACCCCAGCAUGAUCAAGCGAUCCAAAAAGUGCAGCUCCAGCAGCUCCUUGUGAAGGCAGGGCUGGCCCGGGGCGGGGAGAGGGGGGGAGGCGAGCUGCGGCGAGGAUGCAGGCAGUGGUGCCGGUUGCCCUCACCGUCCGAAAGCACACAUAGCCAACAU